rnacentral:rRNA from 1 species
GACGAACGCUGGCGGCGUGCCUAAUACAUGCAAGUCGAACGAACCGCGACUAAGUGCUUGCACUAAGUCAAGGUGAGUGGCGAACGGGUGAGUAACACGUGGGUAACCUACCUCAUAGUGGGGGAUAACAGUCGGAAACGACUGCUAAUACCGCAUAGGACAUAGGAUCACAUGAUCCAGUGAGGAAAGGUGGCGCAAGCUAUCGCUAAGAGAUGGACCCGCGGUGCAUUAGCUAGUUGGUAGGGUAAAGGCCUACCAAGGCGAUGAUGCAUAGCCGACCUGAGAGGGUGAUCGGCCACAUUGGGACUGAGACACGGCCCAAACUCCUACGGGAGGCAGCAGUAAGGAAUCUUCCGCAAUGGACGCAAGUCUGACGGAGCAACGCCGCGUGAGUGAAGAAGGUCUUCGGAUCGUAAAGCUCUGUUGUUAGAGAAGAACAGCGCAUAGAGUAACUGCUAUGCGUGUGACGGUAUCUAACCAGAAAGCCACGGCUAACUACGUG